UUAAGCGACUAAGCGUACACGGUGGAUGCCCUGGCAGUCAGAGGCGAUGAAGGACGUGCUAAUCUGCGAUAAGCGUCGGUAAGGUGAUAUGAACCGUUAUAACCGGCGAUUUCCGAAUGGGGAAACCCAGUGUGAUUCGUCACACUAUCAUUAACUGAAUCCAUAGGUUAAUGAGGCGAACCGGGGGAACUGAAACAUCUAAGUACCCCGAGGAAAAGAAAUCAACCGAGAUUCCCCCAGUAGCGGCGAGCGAACGGGGAGGAGCCCAGAGCCUGAAUCAGUGUGUGUAUUAGUGGAAGCGUCUGGAAAGGCGCGCGAUACAGGGUGACAGCCCCGUACACAAAAAUGCACAUGCUGUGAGCUCGAUGAGUAGGGCGGGACACGUGGUAUCCUGUCUGAAUAUGGGGGGACCAUCCUCCAAGGCUAAAUACUCCUGACUGACCGAUAGUGAACCAGUACCGUGAGGGAAAGGCGAAAAGAACCCCGGCGAGGGGAGUGAAAAAGAACCUGAAACCGUGUACGUACAAGCAGUGGGAGCACGCUUCGGCGUGUGACUGCGUACCUUUUGUAUAAUGGGUCAGCGACUUAUAUUCUGUAGCAAGGGUUAACCGAAUAGGGGAGCCGAAGGGAAACCGAGUCUUAACUGGGCGUUAAGUUGCAGGGUAUAGACCCGAAACCCGGUGAUCUAGCCAUGGGCAGGUUGAAGGUUGGGUAACACUAACUGGAGGACCGAACCGACUAAUGUUGAAAAAUUAGCGGAUGACUUGUGGCUGGGGGUGAAAGGCCAAUCAAACCGGGAGAUAGCUGGUUCUCCCCGAAAGCUAUUUAGGUAGCGCCUCGUGAAUUCAUCUCCGGGGGUAGAGCACUGUUUCGGCAAGGGGGUCAUCCCGACUUACCAACCCGAUGCAAACUGCGAAUACCGGAGAAUGUUAUCACGGGAGACACACGGCGGGUGCUAACGUCCGUCGUGAAGAGGGAAACAACCCAGACCGCCAGCUAAGGUCCCAAAGUCAUGGUUAAGUGGGAAACGAUGUGGGAAGGCCCAGACAGCCAGGAUGUUGGCUUAGAAGCAGCCAUCAUUUAAAGAAAGCGUAAUAGCUCACUGGUCGAGUCGGCCUGCGCGGAAGAUGUAACGGGGCUAAACCAUGCACCGAAGCUGCGGCAGCGACACUAUGUGUUGUUGGGUAGGGGAGCGUUCUGUAAGCCUGUGAAGGUGUGCUGUGAGGUAUGCUGGAGGUAUCAGAAGUGCGAAUGCUGACAUAAGUAACGAUAAAGCGGGUGAAAAGCCCGCUCGCCGGAAGACCAAGGGUUCCUGUCCAACGUUAAUCGGGGCAGGGUGAGUCGACCCCUAAGGCGAGGCCGAAAGGCGUAGUCGAUGGGAAACAGGUUAAUAUUCCUGUACUUGGUGUUACUGCGAAGGGGGGACGGAGAAGGCUAUGUUGGCCGGGCGACGGUUGUCCCGGUUUAAGCGUGUAGGCUGGUUUUCCAGGCAAAUCCGGAAAACUAAGGCUGAGGCGUGAUGACGAGGCACUACGGUGCUGAAGCAACAAAUGCCCUGCUUCCAGGAAAAGCCUCUAAGCAUCAGGUAACAUCAAAUCGUACCCCAAACCGACACAGGUGGUCAGGUAGAGAAUACCAAGGCGCUUGAGAGAACUCGGGUGAAGGAACUAGGCAAAAUGGUGCCGUAACUUCGGGAGAAGGCACGCUGAUAUGUAGGUGAAGCGACUUGCUCGUGGAGCUGAAAUCAGUCGAAGAUACCAGCUGGCUGCAACUGUUUAUUAAAAACACAGCACUGUGCAAACACGAAAGUGGACGUAUACGGUGUGACGCCUGCCCGGUGCCGGAAGGUUAAUUGAUGGGGUUAGCGGUAACGCGAAGCUCUUGAUCGAAGCCCCGGUAAACGGCGGCCGUAACUAUAACGGUCCUAAGGUAGCGAAAUUCCUUGUCGGGUAAGUUCCGACCUGCACGAAUGGCGUAAUGAUGGCCAGGCUGUCUCCACCCGAGACUCAGUGAAAUUGAACUCGCUGUGAAGAUGCAGUGUACCCGCGGCAAGACGGAAAGACCCCGUGAACCUUUACUAUAGCUUGACACUGAACAUUGAGCCUUGAUGUGUAGGAUAGGUGGGAGGCUUUGAAGUGUGGACGCCAGUCUGCAUGGAGCCGACCUUGAAAUACCACCCUUUAAUGUUUGAUGUUCUAACGUUGACCCGUGAUCCGGGUUGCGGACAGUGUCUGGUGGGUAGUUUGACUGGGGCGGUCUCCUCCUAAAGAGUAACGGAGGAGCACGAAGGUUGGCUAAUCCUGGUCGGACAUCAGGAGGUUAGUGCAAUGGCAUAAGCCAGCUUGACUGCGAGCGUGACGGCGCGAGCAGGUGCGAAAGCAGGUCAUAGUGAUCCGGUGGUUCUGAAUGGAAGGGCCAUCGCUCAACGGAUAAAAGGUACUCCGGGGAUAACAGGCUGAUACCGCCCAAGAGUUCAUAUCGACGGCGGUGUUUGGCACCUCGAUGUCGGCUCAUCACAUCCUGGGGCUGAAGUAGGUCCCAAGGGUAUGGCUGUUCGCCAUUUAAAGUGGUACGCGAGCUGGGUUUAGAACGUCGUGAGACAGUUCGGUCCCUAUCUGCCGUGGGCGCUGGAGAACUGAGGGGGGCUGCUCCUAGUACGAGAGGACCGGAGUGGACGCAUCACUGGUGUUCGGGUUGUCAUGCCAAUGGCACUGCCCGGUAGCUAAAUGCGGAAGAGAUAAGUGCUGAAAGCAUCUAAGCACGAAACUUGCCCCGAGAUGAGUUCUCCCUGACUCCUUGAGAGUCCUGAAGGAACGUUGAAGACGACGACGUUGAUAGGCCGGGUGUGUAAGCGCAGCGAUGCGUUGAGCUAACCGGUACUAAUGAACCGUGAGGCUUAACCUU
rnacentral:rRNA from 1 species